rnacentral:rRNA from 1 species
UUGAACGCUGGCGGCAGGCCUCACACAUGCAAGUCGAGCGGAUGAAGGGAGCUUGCUCCUGGAUUCAGCGGCGGACGGGUGAGUAAUGCCUAGGAAUCUGCCUGGUAGUGGGGGAUAACGUCCGGAAACGGGCGCUAAUACCGCAUACGUCCUGAGGGAGAAAGUGGGGGAUCUUCGGACCUCACGCUAUCAGAUGAGCCUAGGUCGGAUUAGCUAGUUGGUGGGGUAAAGGCCUACCAAGGCGACGAUCCGUAACUGGUCUGAGAGGAUGAUCAGUCACACUGGAACUGAGACACGGUCCAGACUCCUACGGGAGGCAGCAGUGGGGAAUAUUGGACAAUGGGCGAAAGCCUGAUCCAGCCAUGCCGCGUGUGUGAAGAAGGUCUUCGGAUUGUAAAGCACUUUAAGUUGGGAGGAAGGGCAGUAAGUUAAUACCUUGCUGUUUUGACGUUACCAACAGAAUAAGCACCGGCUAACUUCGUG